UUCCGGUUGAUCCCGCCGGACCUGACUGCUAUCGGAUUGAUACUAAGCCAUGCGAGUCUUUGUAGUAAUACAAGGCAGACGGCUCAGUAACACGUAGUCAACCUACCCUAUGGACAAGAAUAAUCUCGGGAAACUGGGCAUAAUUCUUGAUAGAUCAUAAUGCCUGGAAUGGUUUAUGGUUAAAAUGAUUCGUCGCCAUAGGAUGGGACUGCGGCCUAUCAGCUUGUUGGUGAGGUAAUGGCCCACCAAGGCGAUUACAGGUACGGGCUCUGAGAGGAGAAGCCCGGAGAUGGGUACUGAGACACGGACCCAGGCCCUAUGGGGCGCAGCAGGCGAGAAAACUUUGCAAUGUGCGAAAGCACGACAAGGUUAAUCCGAGUGAUUUCUGCUAAAGAAAUCUUUUGCCAGUCAUAAAACCACUGGUGAAUAAGGGGUGGGCAAGUUCUGGUGUCAGCCGCCGCGGUAAAACCAGCACCUCAAGUGGUCAGGAUGAUUAUUGGGCCUAAAGCAUCCGUAGCCGGCUCUGUAAGUUUUCGGUUAAAUCUAUGUGCUCAACGCAUAGGCUGCCGAAAAUACUGCAUAGCUAGGGAGUGGGAGAGGUAGACGGUACUCGGUAGGAAGGGGUAAAAUCCUUUGAUCUAUCGAUGACCACCUGUGGCGAAGGCGGUCUACCAGAACACGUUCGACGGUGAGGGAUGAAAGCUGGGGGAGCAAACCGGAUUAGAUACCCGGGUAGUCCCAGCUGUAAACGAUGCAGACUCGAUGAUGCAUUGGCAUAUAGCCAGUGCAGUGUCGCAGGGAAGCCGUUAAGUCUGCCGCCUGGGAAGUACGUACGCAAGUAUGAAACUUAAAGGAAUUGGCGGGGGAGCACCACAAGGGGUGAAGCCUGCGGUUCAAUUGGAUUCAACGCCGG
rnacentral:rRNA from 1 species